CUGACGACUCACCUGUGGUUAACAGGCAGGUAAAAGAGGCAGAUAGUGAGGCGGGAGUCAGUACAGAAGCUGCAGAAGCAGUAAGAUCCACCAUGGAACGUGUUCUGGCUGCAUGGGAGUCCUACAAAGACUGCCUGUAUCUAUUACAGGUCUGGCUGGGGCAGGAGAAACAAUCAGAGGCUCAAGAGGUACUAUUAAGUAUUUGUCAUUAAAACACAUGCUACAAAGUAUACAGUGACCCAAAAAAUGUUUGAACACCUAAGUAUGAAUGUCAUUUAGUUAUCUUUGUUGAGAUGUUUAGUAAUUUCAAGUCAUGAGGUGAGGGCACGAUGUUUGUAUGUGGUUGCUUUUUUUAGAAGUUAAUUUGUCAAUUGUCUUGUGAUCUCUUUCAUAAUACAGCACAAGCAUUUUUCCUCCAGCCUGAAUGAGUGGAGAUCACGUCAAGCCCAGCUGAACGAGGCAGGAAACUUUCUCAUUGAGAUGAGUGAGGCCUCCACCAGCCACUCUCUGAUCGAAGAGCUCCGCAAACUGAACAUGCAGUGGGCUGACUUCAUAAAAAGGACCAAGUUUGCAGUGGCCCCUCAGCCCAUCUCUGCAGUCACAGGUGUCCAGGCUUCCCUGAUGCAGGAAGCCAGCUGGGUGCUUAGAGAGACAGUUGAGGUGUUAUCUGGACCUCUACGUAUUUACAGAAAGAAACUCCAGGUAUACUGAUCUUUCUCUUCUACAGUAGCUGUAGUACUUCAUACUGUUUGUAUUUUUAUACUAAUGUUUCUUCAUUGUUUUAUAUGUCUUUCUUAAUGUUUAUUUUUUGUUUUUUUUUUACUUUAACCAGCUGUUUCUCAGGGUCAUUUUCUCCUCCACUCUCUUGUCAAGGUUGUUUAUGCUUGUCUUUUUUCUUUUUUUUUUACUCAGGGCAUAACUAAGAAGAUGUCUGAGUUCAAGCUGAACUCUUUGUCUCCAUCUCCAGAAUGCAAAGAGGAAACUCUUCAGAAAUUCAGACAAACUCUUCCAGAGACACUUGAGACUUUGACCAAGGUGGAUCAGGUGUGUGAGAGACUCCAGAAAUCUGCAUCUCUGCUUGAGGGCAGGCUGGCUGAGCUUGAAAACUGGAGCAAUGAAGUCCAAGAGGUCUGCCACCACCUAAAAGAAAAGCAGCAGAGGGGCCACCGGGGGCCACAUCCCAGUGCUAAAGCACUGAUCUCCAGAGGUCUACAGUUGGAAGGACAGGUGGUAACAGAAGCGGAGGACCUGCAGGUGCUUGUGACAUCAAUGCAAAAUAACUCCUCCCUUCCUUACCUUAGCACAUCGGCAAUACAAGACCAACUGAAAAGGACUGUCUCACACUGUCAGGAGGUUACUGAGAUGCUCAGUUCUCAUGGAGUGAAGCGUGAAGGACAGCCUGUGGGUGAGCAGCCUGCUUCCAAGGUUUUUGUGCAGGCACAUUCUCUGCCUGAAUCCCAAACUAGAAUCAUUCAACAUCAUCAGGAUCAGACGUUCUUCCAAAGCAGCAGUCUUUCUCUAGAGGGCCCAGUAGAACCUCAAAACCAAGAGCUCCAUUCUUCUCAGCUGCAGUCACAAUUGGAAACCACCAGUGGCAUACAACCCCAGUUUCUCCCCCAGGUUCAUGAAAAAUCUCCAAAAGCCCAGAGCAAAACUAUAUGUCAAGUACAGCAUGCAGAGCUCAAACAGCCUUUGCUGUCAUCUGUUGUUAGCAGGAAGGUUCAGUUGAAACCCCAAACUGAUGUUCAACUGAUCUCUGUAGACUCAAGCCUAACCAGUCGCUUUGGACCUUCAGACCUUCAAGCUGCCUUAGUAAACUCAAGCCAAAAGAGUGGCAUUGGACCUUUACAGGUUAUCUCUGUAGACCCAAACCAAUCCAGUGACUUUGGACCAUCAGAGCAACAGGUUGUUUCUUCCACCUCAAGCCAAACCAGUGGUUUUAGACCAUUAGACUCUCUCCAGGUUAUAUCUGUAGACUCAGGUGAAACCAGGGGCUUUGGACCAUCAGACCUUCAGGUUAUCUCUGUAGACUCAAGCCAAAGCAGUGGCAUAGAACAUUCAAUCCCUCUACAGUCUUUCUCUUCAACGGCGUCUAGCCCAAGCAUGUUGCUUACAUCGGUUACCGUGACUCAACUAAGAAUGCCAGUCGAGCAGCAUCUUGAUUCACCACCACAAACAGUCUUGGUGACCCCACACCAAAGACAAAAGGUUCUGGCCAAAAGUCACAGUUUUCCAAAAUCCCAUGAGCAAUCACAUACCUCACUUGUAUCCUGCCCAAGUACUUUGCAUACACCGGUAACAGUCACUCAACAAAGAACGCCUGUCGAACAGAACCUUGGUUCACCACCGAAAAGGCAACCUCAGACCUCUGUGACAACCCAACAUCAAAGACAAAGGGUUCUAUCCAAAAGUCACAGCUUUCCACAGCCAUCAGAGGCUCCAGGUGUUCCCCAUGUCCCAGUACAGAAUGAGGUGUAUGCCAGAGCUCAGGCUUUGGCCAGGAGCAGACUGGAUAAAGCAAAACUGCACCUGCGUGAACACAUUCAGGAUGUCAUCACAGUGAUCGGCACCAGAGACAGAUCUAAAAAACAAGCCAAGAAAAAACAGGCAGUGUCACGUCUUCUCAGGCCUUCAGUGAUGGAGGCAUUUCUAGAAGCUGUGAAGGGAAUGGGUGAUUUCUGCUCCGAUGCCCAGCUCAGAGACAUGGACCUCCUCUCUCAGUCAGUCAGAGCCCAGUGGGAGGUGUGUGCCACAGCAGCUGAGCGUUCAGUGCAUCUGGAAGCCUUGAGAAGAAUUGCAGAGAGUCUGCAGCCCACAGAGAGUGUUCUUCUCAGCACCAGCCAUCAGAGAACAGACACAGAGAGGGUGGAGAACGUUCAACGCCUCACAGACUCCACAAGUGACUUGGCACCAUGCCAGGAUGGCAGGGGGGGAGCAGUCAAGGAUUGUGUCCUGCUGAGAAAGACUGUACUGGUGGAUGACCUGAGAGACCGGGUCCACUCACAGGUACACGUGAUUAUUUGCUGCGUUUUAUCUCUUUUUGAUCAGUGCAGUAUAUAUAUUUUUUUUCAGUAUUUUUUCAGUAUUCUUUCUCAGUCUCUCGCACCAGCAUGACUUUACACUGGCGGGUACUUUACUUGAGCAUCUGUGAGCUCUAUACCUGCCCAGUGUUAACAUGGCACAUUUUCUUGUCAUGGUCAAGUUUGCUUGUAGCCAAACAUGGAGAUAAAUCUCAUAAGAACUUCUCAGCUCUGAUUGGAUGUUGCUGACCUUCUUAAGCACGUGGACAGCUCAGAGGAGUUAAUCUGCUGAGAUUGGCUAGGGCUGCUGAAGAGUGUAUUCGCUUGUUCUGGGGUCGUUUGACCCCUUGUAAUGACGCUAUGGUUGUGCUCUCUCAUAGGCUGUUGUCCAGACCAACAUCGUGGAGAUAAAACAGAUACCAGAGAGGACCGUCAUCCAUCCCUGUUCAGCACAGGAAAGGGUUACAGCACAGGAAACUCAGAGCAGGUAAACAUUUUAGAAACAAUUUAGCUUCAAGAAAUAGAUAUAUUUCCAUGUUCUGUCAAUACUUUAUAAGGAUGUAACUGGCUUUUCUAUAUGCAAUUUAUAUGCCGUUACCUUUUAAAAUGCUCAUAAUGAUUACUUUAUGAAAUAAAUAUAUACAUUUCAAUUUUAUUCA
ensembl:lncRNA